rnacentral:lncRNA from 1 species
GAGACAUUCAUAUUCUUCUGAUUGUAUUUCACAGUUGCUUUAACUGAUGCCAAUCAAGAUUGUGUUGGAAAGGCAAAAGGCGACGUUUGCACAUGCGGACUAAAGACUGGCACAUGUAUCGAUGAAGUCUGUGAGUGCAAUGGCCUCCUCGCUAGAAGGAAGCGGAGAUCAUGCCGGUAUCAUUUCGAAUGUAAUUGGUGCAAUGGGUAUUGCAUAGGUGGAAGCUGUGUUUGCGUAGUUUAAAUGAUAAUCCAUUAACUCUUCAGGAAAGUGUACUGACUGAAAAGAAGAAAUUUCAGAAUUAUACAGAGUAGCAUAAGAGAAUGUUAUAAAAAGACUAUAAAACAUAUUUUAAUUCAAAAUUAUUUUACCUUUGUUUCACAACAAUGCAGGAAAAUAAAUGCUUUCAAUUCAAACAUA